rnacentral:lncRNA from 1 species
CUAGUGAUUUAUCCUAUGACCAAAAUUGCAUAGUCUCUAAUUUGCUUGAUAAUAAAGAAGCAUUAAGUUGGUUUAGGGAGAACAUUAGUGAUACUUGUCCUAUAGGGAUGAACGAUUGUCACAUGCUAGAGAAAGUCUUUGUGCAUAAAAAUUUUCGAACACAUUUUGACUCUUUCUCGAAGCUUCCUCCCAUAUUUCCUUCCGGAAUUGGCUGAAGUGGUUCCUUCUUAGAACCUUCCCUCAUGAAGUUCAGGUAUGGGGAAGGAAAUGUGUGAGUGUGUGGGUCGUGUUAGUGUUUCGUUCGUUAAUAAAAAUCCC